CGAAAGCCCGAUGCAGCAACGCCGCGUGGGCGAUGAAGGCCUUCGGGUCGUAAAGCCCUUUUUGAGGGGAUGGGGAAGGACAGUACCCUCAGAAUAAGCCUCGGCUAACUACGUGCCAGCAGCCGCGGUAAAACGUAGGAGGCGAGCGUUAUCCGGAUUUACUGGGCGUAAAGCGCGUGCAGGCGGAUUGGAGAGUUGGAUGUGAAAGCUCCCGGCUUAACUGGGAGAGGUCGUUCAAUACUUCCAUUCUUGAGUGCAGUAGAGAGAAGUGGAAUUCCGAGUGUAGUGGUGAAAUGCGUAGAUAUCCGGAGGAACACCAGUGGCGAAAGCAGCUUCCUGGACUGUAACUGACGCUCAGACGCGAAAGCUAGGGUAGCAAACG
rnacentral:rRNA from 1 species